AACAAACGCUGGCGGCGUGCCUAACACAUGCAAGUCGUACGAGAAAGGGUCCUUCGGGGCCUGAGUAAAGUGGCGCACGGGUGAGUAACGCGUGGAUAAUCUGCCCUUCAGUUGGGAAUAACUCAUCGAAAGGUGGGCUAAUACCGAAUAAUGCUGUGAGACCUCGGUUGAUCAGCCAAAGAGAGCCUCUGCUUGCAAGCCCUCGCUGAAGGAUGAGUCCGCGUACCAUUAGCUAGUUGGUAGGGUAAUGGCCAACCAAGGGGACGAUGGUUAGCUGGGCUGAGAGGAUGAUCAGCCACACUGGAACGGAGACACGGGCCAGACUCCUACGGGAGGCAGCAGUGAGGAAUCUUGCGCAAUGGGGGCAACCCUGACGCAGCAACGCCGCGUGAGUGAGGAAGGUCUUCGGAUCGUAAAGCUCUGUCGGAUGGAAAGAACCGCAUAGGGGUAAACAGCCCCUGUGUCUGACGGUACCAUCAGAGGAAGCACCGGCUAACUCCGUGCCAGCAGCCGCAGUAAUAC
rnacentral:rRNA from 1 species